CCAAAAUCCGGACGGCUUAGUUGAGACGUGAUAACGCAACACUCCUCGGAGUGCCAAGUGAGCGAUACCAUGCUUCCAGGAAAAGCCACUAAGCUUCAGUUGAAUGAAGACCGUACCGUAAACCGACACAGGUGGGUAGGAUGAGAAUUCUAAGGCGCUUGAGAGAACUCAGGAGAAGGAACUCGGCAAAAUAGCACCGUAACUUCGGGAAAAGGUGUGCCCUUUGUAUGUGUAGCGCCUCGCGCGUGAAGCAGAAUAGGGUUGCAAUGAAAUGGUGGCUGCGACUGUUUAAUAAAAACAUAGCACUCUGCAAACACGAAAGUGGACGUAUAGAGUGUGACGCCUGCCCGGUGCCGGAAGGUUAAAUGAUGGGGUGCAAGCUCUUGAUUGAAGCCCCGGUAAACGGCGGCCGUAACAAUAACGGUCCUAAGGUAGCGAAAUUCCUUGUCGGGUAGUUCCGACCUGCACGAAUGGCGUAACGAUGGCCACACUGUCUCCUCCUGGGACUCAGCGAAGUUGAAAUGUUUGUGAAGAUGCAAUCUCCCCGCGGCUAGACGGAAAGACCCCGUGCACCUUUACUGUAGCUUUACAUUGGACUUUGAUAACAUCUGUGUAGGAUAGGUGGGAGGCUUUGAAGUGGACUCGCUAGAGUUCAUGGAGCCAUCGUUGAAAUACCACCCUGAUGUUGUUGGGGUUCUAACCUAGAUCCAUUAUCUGGAUUGGGGACCGUGUAUGGUAGGCAGUUUGACUGGGGCGGUCUCCUCCCAAAUUGUAACGGAGGAGUACGAAGGUACGCUAGGUACGGUCGGAAAUCGUGCUGAUAGUGCAAUGGCAAAAGCGUGCUUGACUGCGAGACUGACAAGUCGAGCAGAUGCGAAAGCAGGUCAUAGUGAUCCGGUGGUUCUGUAUGGAAGGGCCAUCGCUCAACGGAUAAAAGGUACGCCGGGGAUAACAGGCUGAUUCCUCCCAAGAGUUCAUAUCGACGGGGGAGUUUGGCACCUCGAUGUCGGCUCAUCACAUCCUGGGGCUGUAGCCGGUCCCAAGGGUAUGGCUGUUCGCCAUUUAAAGUGGUACGUGAGCUGGGUUUAAAACGUCGUGAGACAGUUUGGUCCCUAUCUGCCGUGGGCGUUGGAAGUUUGAGUGGACCUGCUCCUAGUACGAGAGGACCGGAGUGGACGCACCUCUGGUGUACCGGUUAUGACGCCAGUCGUAUCGCCGGGUAGCUAAGUGCGGAAGAGAUAACCGCUGAAAGCAUCUAAGCGGGAAACUCUCCUCAAGAUGAGACUUCCCGAGGGUUUAACCCUCCUAAAGGUUCGUCGAAGACUACGACGUUGAUAGGUCGGGUGUGGAAGCAUAGUAAUAUGUUAAGCUAACCGAUACUAAUUGACCGUGAGGCUUGAUCC
rnacentral:rRNA from 1 species